UACGUAGGAGGCGAGCGUUGUCCGGAAUUACUGGGCGUAAAGAGUUCGUAGGCGGUUUGUCGCGUCGUUUGUGAAAACCAGCAGCUCAACUGCUGGCUUGCAGGCGAUACGGGCAGACUUGAGUACUGCAGGGGAGACUGGAAUUCCUGGUGUAGCGGUGAAAUGCGCAGAUAUCAGGAGGAACACCGGUGGCGAAGGCGGGUCUCUGGGCAGUAACUGACGCUGAGGAACGAAAGCGUGGGUAGCGAACAGG
rnacentral:rRNA from 1 species